rfam:Aedes albopictus isolate Foshan contig96351, whole genome shotgun sequence.
UAGCCUAGUGGUUAAGGCUAUGGAUCGCCAAUCCGGAGAUGGCGGGUUCCAUUCCCGU